CAGAAGUUUCUGUUUCCCGGAGCUGGACUCCGCCUAGUCGGGGAUCAGAUUCACUUUCUAGUUUCCUCUUCCCGCUCGGGUCCUGCCUUGAACAAAGCGGCCGCCCGCGCGCGCGGACUAGCGCUGCGGUCAUCUUGCUCGCGCGCGCGCACACGCACGCGGCCGCUCAGUCCGCGCAGCAGCCGAGCGCCGAGCAGAGAAGCGGAGAGCACCGGCGCCUCCCGAGACGGCCGCAGAGCCCAGCCACCAUGAGACUCUGCUCACCGCUGGAGCCACGGCAGGUCACACGAAGGACAAGGUGUUGCCAAGCUGAGAAUGUGGGAGCUCCUUAGUGCAAGACCCAGGACCUGAACUUCUUCCCGGAAAUGAAAGAGUUAGGAGCGCUUUUUACAAAAGUUCCUUCAACAGUGCAAGUCUGUUGCAGUAAUCACAUUUCAAGUGCUCUGCAUCGAUGUGCAGCUCGUAGCUGCCAUACUGGACAGCAUAUAAAACAUCCCCUUCAUCACAGGAAGUUCUACUGGACAGCGGUGGCUAGAGGCCAGGAUUUUGGUAAGGAGAACCAUGAUCCAAGGGGUGCUAUUCCCUAACAGAUGAGAGUAGGAAUGGCAGAAGAGAACAAUCUAAAAAAGGUACUAUCAUGGAGGAUAUGUGGAUUUUCACACUUACCUUUUUCAAGAGCAUCUUAAUUGCUUGAAUUUUUUUCAAGCCAGGCGGAAGUUGAUCAAAUAUAAUUGUGAUGACCAAAUUUUGGAACUCUUUCAGAAUUACAAAAUAUAGUAGUGAUCUUUUGGGAAUAAGGAGUUAGUUGUAUAAGAACAAUAAAGCUGGGCUUCCCUGGUGGCGCAGUGGUUGAGAAUCUGCCUGCUAAUGCAGGGGACACGGGUUCGAGCCCUGGUCUGGGAAGAUCCCACGUGUCGCAGAGCAGCUGGGCCCGUGAGCCACAAUUACUGAGCCUGCGCGUCUGGAGCCUGUGCUCCGCAACAAGAGAGGCCGCGAUAGUGAGAGGCCCGCGCACCGCGAUGAAGAGUGGCCCCCGCUUGCCACAACUAGAGAAAGCCCUCGCAAAGAAACGAAGACCCAACACAGCCAUAAAUAAAUAAAUAAUUAAAAAAAAAAAAAAAAAAAAGAACAAUAAAGCUACAUUAAAAAAAAAAAAAAAAAAAAAACAACCCUGCAUAGGGCUACAGCUUCAACUGAAGACACGGUGUUUUGGACCUUACCAUGCUUAUGUGAAAGCUUCAAAUUAUGAAAUGUAGAGUAGCAACAGUACAACACAUAUUCAUUUUAUGAUACAAAAGCAGAUAAGAUGGACAUAAAGGUUAAGAAAUGAAAAUAACAUAUACACUAAAAAAAAAAAAAUCACGACAGAAACAGGCUUUAUUUCAACCAGACAAGGGAAUACUUCCAUUAACAUCAACUUCUUCAAGACCUGAAGACAUGGAAAUUAAAGACAGUGCCCAGAAGGCAGAGAAGGAAAGUUUCAUCACGGAGCAAUUGUGCCGCCCUUCAAAGGUCCCAGCAAUACAGCAAUACGCUCAAUUCAAAAGAUUGAUUAGUUCUAAAUCAUUACAUCUCGUGUGUUUCAGUAUUUGUACAAGACUCUCAUUUGAAAGUUACCCAUCAGUCCCAAUGACAUAUUUCAAACAGAAAAAAAAUAUAUAGAUCAGUAUCAUAAUUUUUUUUUUAAUUUUCGAAAGUGGGAUUGAAAUACAGUUUAAAAUAUUUCAAAUAAAAAACAACUCUAUUACUAUUUAAGAUGCCUUGUUACAAAGCUCCUAGCUACAUACAUGUACAAAACACAGAUAUUACCACAUGACAUCUCAACCCAUGACUUCUCCUAAACAUCCCAACGUGAACAGUUAAUCUACCGGGAGACUUUCCCCUGUAAAUCCCCACAUCUUGCACAAGGAUUUGUUGCCAUUCAUACGCUGUGCAUGGAUGAGGACACUUCAUCAGAGAACACUUCAAUUUAACAUAACCUAACAUAAAAUAAAUCUAACGCAACACUAUAUGUUCAUAAGGGAUACGACAAAAUUGCAUAUAAUUUUCAACUUUUGCCAGACUCACUAAAUUCAUGAACGCUUUUUCAGAGUUUUCUCUUCAAGGGCACUUUUGAGAGCUUUAGAUCUCGUGCUUAACUUUGUAUUGAGUUGGUCAGCACCUUGAUUAAUAUGAACAAUUACAUCAAAGAACGGUAUUGGAGGGGGGACGGGGAGUCAUCCGAGGACAGAAACAGGGGGAAGGACUCUCUUUUUCCCUAAGACAUUCAAACAGAAAAAACAAGACCCAAAAAGGUAAACAAACAAACAAAAUAGUGUUCACAGUAAAACAUGACAGAUUUGUAGUUUCAUUUGAAACCAACAGCAAAUCAUGAAACGUCAUGAAAAAUAUAAGUCAAGGUAAAAUCUCCUAGAGUAAUUACUAAAUGAAGUUAAAAUUACCACACUGAUCAGUAAACCCCAGAAGAAAAAUAAACAGCACUUACGUUUCAGGUCCUUCUUAAACAUCAUACAAUUUUUCAAAGUCAAUGCAUAAAAUUGGUAGGUUUGGCCACGCUGCACAAAUAUUUUUUUAAAAAAUACAGUAUACAGAAAAAACUCUUGUAUUCCCCAUUUUGAAUCAUAAACUCAAAACCCAAGAGUAAAAGAUCAGCUAGAAGGAUUUUAAUUAUUUACAAAUCCAGCAGGUUCAUCUGCCAUAAUGGCUUGGCUUCCGUCCCACAGUGGCUUUCACCCUCUCCAGCCGCAGAGCUUGGAUCCCUGUUCUCACAGAAGGCUGUUCCAUCUGUGGCCCAUCUCUACUGGUCAUCAGUCAUUUUGAACAGUUCCAGCAGUGCCCCAACAGCUCCAAAAUAACCCUACAACAACAAUGAGAAAACUUCUGUACGAUUAUCUCCGAACCUUAGUCCAAUACCUACUGUUUUUCAUAAUUCGAGGAAUGCUGCCCCCUAAUGCUAUAGAUACAAGAAACUUAAAACCUGACCUCUGGCAUGAAACAUGAUAUAAUAAUAAUAAUAAUAAUAAAUGCAUUGGAUAUCUAUUUGUUUAUAUACAUUAAAUAAAUUAACUGAUGUAAAGUGCGUAGAAAAAUGUCUGGCACCACAGUGUAUACUACGUCAGUGUUGGCAAUUUUUAGGAUUUUUAGGAUUAUGAUUAUUUCAUUUUAAUCCUUGUCAUGGCAAAAUUCACAUUAUUACUGCCAUUCCACAGAUGAGAAAUGGGAGGUAAUAAGGUAAAUUACCCUUUCAAGGUCACAUGAGUUGUGCCAGGGUUCAAUCGCAAAUCUAUCUGACUUCAAAGUUGUAAUGUCUCACAAGGUACAGCUCUAAGCUUCCCUCAGUAGAUCCUGGAAAGGCAUCUAAAUCAGCUCAAGUUUCCCUUUGCUCAUCUGUAAAGGAAAAGCCCACGUAUCUGUGAAAAUGAAGGAAGCUGAAAAAUGGCAAUGUUUAGAGAAGCUGGUUUCCAAAAGGCAAGAGACUCUACUCCUCUGGUAUUUGCCUGACUCAACAGUUACUUACUGCGAAAUGGGUGGCAUCUGGCAGAACACUACAUGGUAGGAUCUUUGCCUCCACUGCCAGCUAACAUCUGAGGGCUCACUAUAUGCUAGAAAUGUACAUGGAUUUCCUCACUUAAUCGUCACAGUAACUUUAUGAGACAAAUAAUAUUAUCACCCCAUUUUACAAAAGCUAAAACAGAAAUGGAAAGGUAGAGUCAUUGCCUAAAGUCUCCAAGUCAGCGAGAGCCUGUGCUCUCAACUGCUUGGCUAGACCACUUCUCUUAGGAGACGCUCACUUACAUAAGUGGAAUGAAUGAGACUGAGUGAGUGAGGACUCCAGGCAGGGCAGGAAAGCCACCUCACCAGCACCUCCCAAAAGUUCUCUCUCCAUAAUAUCCUCCAGGAAGACCUGCCUAAGCGAGAAUGAACCUAAGAAUGUAGAGAAUUUUCUGAGAAACACCUACAGGGAGAUAUAAAAUUGCUCUACUUUCAUCGGCCAUAGAGACUGAGUUAUGAUACUUAGUAACAAACCAAAGCCAUCGUUCACAGAGGCCUAAGAUUGUACAAAGGGAUAUGCCUUUUUAUCCAGAGAAGUAGGUUUCCCCCAAAUGCUGGUUCUUUUUCCGUAUCUUACCAUCAACUAACUACCUGUGUGCCCUCGUAGAUGGCUUUUAAUCCCUGAUGGCUUCCAGGGUUUGUUUUCUGCCUUAGUCCAAGAGGAUCUAAACUUAGGGUUGCCAGAUAAAUGCCAAGUAAAAUAACUGUGUCCUAUAUUUUUAAUCACUAAAUACGGCAACACCAGAUGGGCUAGAAGAGUGGUCUUCUUUUUCAUUUUAAUUAUUUUUUUAAAUAAAAUCUUACAAGGGAAAUCGAUAACUAAGUAGAUAAAAAAGGAGCUGCUCUGGUUGGAGGAGGGGGAGUGAAAAUUCUGAGACUCCACUGCCCUCGCCCCCCACAAAAAAGUUAUAUCACUUCAUGCCUUAGCCUCCUUAAAAAGACAAAAACAAAAACUUUCUUUAGUAUAGUUAAACAGUUAACUAUUUGGUAUUUAACUUCGUAUUGUUUUAGAUGCUUUAAUAAAACAAAACGUAGGCUUAGAGAGCUCUAAAUAAUUUAUAAAUGCAUCAGCAACUUUUCACAUAAAUAAUUCAGUUUGGAGAUGAGAAAAAUGCCACAGUAGUUAUUCAUUACAAUUAAAAUUUAUGACACUCGUUCUCCCAAUGUUCUUUCUGCUGCAAUAUACCCAAGGCUUUGGGUACCUCCCGUGAUAAACAGCUGCUCUCUACAGUAUUGAUUUUAAAGGGGGAUAGAAGAGGUGGGAAGAGAUGAGGGCUCCCCACUCAGUCUUAGAAACCUCCGAUUUGUAUUAGUGUAGAAACUGGAUAUAAGGGACUCUUUGCAUUAACCAGAGUUCUCCACUUCUUCUGUAAACAGGCUGCCUAAUGUCUAGCACACCAGCCUCUCAAGCCCACCAGGCUACUCUGAGCAGCCCAAGCACUUCUGUUCUCACCAGUUGAGUUGUUUACUUGCCAAGAGUCACCUGUGUUUAUCCUCAAAUUUGUUUAUGACAGUUUUAUUGUUAAUGUAAUAAUCUAAUGUAAUUAUAUACCACCUAAACCAAUA